GUACUCGCUUCAGAAGCACAUACACUAAAAUUGGAGCGAUACAGAGAAGAUUAGCCUGGCCCCUGUGCAAGAUUUUACUGAGUUUUCAAAUUGUGAGGGGCACAGUCUUU